UGCAACAGGUCCUUGUUUCUGGAGGGAGCCCUGACCCACACCCACACCAAGAAUCUAUAGUAAAGGUUUAGGGUUAGGAUUAGGGUUUUAAAUCUACCUGUUGUGUUCCAUGUCUUCUUUGGGGCUUCUGCCAGCCUUGUACUUGUGACAAAGAGAGAUUUCACAGCUCUCUCUAGGGAAAAAAUCCUUGGCUGCACAUGACACAAAGAGGUGUCUUCUUCAGCAGCAGCAACAAUGGGCCAGAUGCAGGAGGCGAUAGAAAAUUUCAUGAGCAGUCGAGAGUGCUCUUAGCUAGAUGGGUUGUCCAACACACAAAAAUACACAUUUUGAAGCUGAAGAAGAUUUUAAAAAAUGCAUUAAAUUUGCAGCCCAGAGCUUCGCCGCCUCCAUCUCCUGCC